UAGAUUGAAGCCAGUUGUUUAGGGCUUUUAGCUGUUAACUAACGUUUCAUGGGUUUAAAUCCCAUCAAUCUAG
rnacentral:tRNA from 1 species